AUUGAACGCUGGCGGCAUGCCUUACACAUGCAAGUCGAACGGCAGCGGGGACUUCGGUCCGCCGGCGAGUGGCGAACGGGUGAGUAAUGUAUCGGAACGUACCAUUCAGUGGGGGAUAACUAUCCGAAACGAUAGCUAAUACCGCAUAUUCUGUGAGCAGGACAGCAGGGGAUCGCCAGACCUCGCGCUGAUUGAGCGGCCGAUAUCCGAUUAGCUAGUUGGUGAGGUAACGGCUCACCAGGGCUACGAUCUGUAGCGGGUCUGAGAGGAUGAUCCGCCACACUGGGACUGAGACACGGCCCAGACUCCUACGGGAGGCAGCAGUGGGGAAUUUUGGACAAUGGGCGCAAGCCUGAUCCAGCCAUGCCGCGUGAGUGAAGAAGGCCUCCGGGUUGUAAAGCUCUUUCGGCCGGGAAGAAAUCGCAUCAGCUAAUACCUGGUGUGGAUGACGGUACCGGAAUAAGAAGCACCGGCUAACUACGUGCCAGCCGCCGCGGUAA
rnacentral:rRNA from 1 species